AUUCAAAUCAAACAUGAUUAUUAUUUUAUUUAUUCAUUUCGUCAUUUGAAAAUUUCAUGUAGUUCUACUUUUACUGCAUUAUUUAACGGUUAAACCCACGUCGCUUUUACGAUCAAUUUUCAACUUCAGCGAACGUCUCUAUCAACUCAACUACAAAAAUUAUCCUGUCUGACUGAUCCCGGUAUGGCUCAAAAACCAACUUCCAAUGUAUCAUACGAUGAACUUUUUGCCAACUUUUCCGAAGCUAUUCAAUCAUCUAUAAAUCGAAUGGAAAGAAUGUUGGAUUGGCUGCUUCUAGUGAGAGAAAAUAUUGCGAACUUAAAUUUGGAAUUACAUUCCACAUUUAAAUCACUGGAACAGCUAAAUGAAUCAAGCCAAACGAUAGAAGAUGAAAAUGAAAUUGUUUGUCCACUUCAUCCUGAUUGCAACAAAAUAACGAAUCGAGUAAUAUCCAACUUGAAUAAACUUAAUUAGAAUUAUUUUAAAUAAAUAGGCAAUUCUUGUAUCAAUAAAAAAUGUAUUAACCGUUUUACGAAAAUCACAGUUUCUUAUAUAAGACAUAAAACCAUAAACAUAGAUAUUAACAUUGACAAAGAGAAAAUUAUAAAUAAUACAUUUUCAACGAAUUUUAAACAUUGCUAAGAACAUAGGCCACAAAAAUAAGAGAUGAUUAUCUGUUGUGAAAAAAUUUCAAUUAGGUACUAUUUCUUAUUAAAAUACAUCCUAGAAUCAUCCUAGUCAAGAAUAUCGAAACUCUUGAUAUAAUACAAAAUUUCAGUUACAAUGCAAUUUAUGCAAAACUUCUUAAACAUAAAAAAAUUAUAGUAUAUAAAGGUGGUAAGCUACGCGUAUUUUUCAAUAUAACUGUAUUUUUAUCAAUAUUUGAAAUUUGGCUAAUGAAGAAUCUUGAAGUAAUGGUAACAAAUAAAUAAUAAUUUUAACGAUUAACAAAUUCAAUAUUGCAACCUAAGUUUUAUCUUGCUUUGCUAUUUAUAAAGAACACGCUCUUGAAACUCGAGUGUUGAAGUACCUAGUGUUGAGAACGUGCAAUGAAAAUAAACCUAAACAUGAGAUCUUAAUACAUAAAUACAAACGUACAAAUUCGCAUCACAAAUUCCCUCAAUUUUUUUUAAGUAUUAUCAUCCUAGUUCAUAAAAUGAA